rnacentral:misc_RNA from 1 species
AUCUCCUCCUCAUUUAGGUUCUGGUUCAGGAAUUGGCAGGGCUUCUCAAAAGUCUAACCCUUCUGGUUCUCAGCUCUUAUCUCAUUUUAGAAGUUACUCCAUGUCAUCAUUGCCUCAAAAUACUGCACCAUCUCCUCAACCUGUUAAAGUCCAAAGUUCUACACCCAGCUUUGACCUUGGAGACUUGAGCCAGUUCUCAUCUCAGAAGUUAUGGAAAAAUCAAA